CUUGAACCCAAGGCUGGCACAAAAGCCAGAAGGUGUUACUCUCCACCAGCUCAGGGAUUGUGAAGAUCUCUGUGCAGACUCCACUCUGCGGUUGGACAGCAUCCCUGAGACAUGCAUUUUGGGAAUUGUGAUCAACCAGAAUCCAGAACACGCUGUGCUUAAUGGAGUGAACUGCCUGUGAAGCGCAGGUGUGAGGGGCGGAUGAUAAGUGACAGUGCCGGUGCCCCCAGCGCCCUUUUACCUGAUGGCUCACCCGGCCUACAGCUGCGCCCUUCCCUUUGAAUCGUCUUGGGUAACGGGUGCUGCUUUGGAAAUGCCUGGAAGGUCAUGUCCUUUGUCUGGGGAUGGCUUCCAGCUGUGGUUGACUGAUAGCAGGGGGCACAGAAGGCCAGACACAACUUGCCUCAGGUGGGCCGACUCUGAGGGUUUGUUCGGCCUCCACGUGGACUUCAGCUGAGCCUGCAUCUUUGCUUGGCUUUUCCCACUGGCCUAUUCUGCUUCCCUCUCCUUAAGGGUUCUCCCAGGAGAACUCCCUUAAUAAAUCACUUGCACAAGGAUCGGGACCCCUCACUCAGUGCAGAGGGAAAUUGACACAGCCAUGAUGAGGCCUGGCUCACAAGAGCCAUAGUUACUGUAGGAGUUUCUGUGGCUAAAUAUGCUUAGCUAUUGGGGCAAGGACAUGUGCUGGAUGUGUAUGCAGUCUUUGAAGCUGGAGAGGCCUGUGUUGGAAACUGUGCUCUGUCCCAUGCCAGUUCCCUGACCUUGGGAAUAGAAUGUAGACUGCAUCCAGUACUAGGAAGAGAACAGUUAUGUUGGAGCUAGUUCGGAAGUCCCAUUUAACAACUGCUCCCAGUACAGCAUGAGAAGUGACCCAGAGCACAGCGAUCGCACGCGCAGCGUGCUCUACAGAAGGUGCAUCCACAGAUGGCGGGCCAGCCGGCUCCCAAUAUAGUUUUUAACAUAAAUGAUGAAAAUAAAAACCCUGAAGAAACUUCCAUGUGGGACACGAGCCUUCAAUGCCUGAUAAAGCCUGAAAGCCACAAUCUGCCCUGGAAACCCAGCUCCACCCUGCUUCCACUACAUCAGGAGGUGGAGGAGGAAAUUGAAAGUGUGAAACACCAGUGGGAGGAAAAGGUUCCUGUAACAAAUGUGGUUAUCAAUGGGAAAGAAGCUUUCUAGAGCUUAUAUACGGGGCCGAGUCAUGCACACUUCAUCAUACUCACCAGGGGACGACCCAGACCAUCAUUCUUCUCUGGUCUGCCACCUUCAUCCUCCACUUGCAGCCUCCUUUGCAGUGACCAUACAGGUGCAGAGCAUGAGCAGGAUGCACAGGGGUUUAUGUGGUCAGGCCUGCCUGGAGUUGGCACAUAGCAUUUCUGCUUCCAUUCUUAGGUCUGAAAUCCAGGUCACAGAGCCCUAACAUAACUACAAAGGAUCCUGAAAAGUGUUGUAUUCCAGUGUGCCUCGGAAAAGAAAAUAGGAUUAAUAAACUUUGAUUAGACUAAAUACCCCUAGAGCAAUCAACAGACAGACAGAGCCCUGCUUCAUGGAGCGUCUGCUCUCUCCUGGAGCUCACACGCUGAAACAGACAGGAUGCAACACCUCAGGGUUGUUGGAGAACCAGGGGCUGUUGCAAUUAGGAUGGCGAAUGGUGAAAAACAGUGUGGUUGAAUUGAACAUAAGCUGAAGGGCUAGACAUCAUGGCUUCAAUCCUUGUGGAGGAUGACUUGUGAAUUGCCACCUCCUGCAAAUCCUGUGGCCUAUGAUCUGGACCAAAUCACAUCCAAGUGUCUGAUCAGUUCUGAGAGUGGUUGUGGAUGAUGCCUCUGAGAGAGUCAGCUUGGAGACAGGCACACUCUUAUUUCAUCCGGCCUGGGGAGGAGGGGAAAGAGGAAGUCACCUGUGAAAUUGUCUUUGCGCUUUGGACUCAAGCCCCCAGGUGCCUUUGGAUAAUUUCUGCUUGCUAAAGAGGCGGGGCCUUAGUCCUCAUCGGCCGAUGGUUUGGAGACUGAAUCAACUAUCUGAGCCUUCAUCUACCACAUAAGAAUUGCAGCAAACCCUGCAGCUAUCCUGAAGCUGCCAUGCUGAAAAGGCCAAUUGGGAGACCACAUAGAGACCGAGAGAGACUUCCAAGGACUCCAGCCAAUCCUGGGCCCCAGCAGUUUGAAUCUCCCAGCAAUGCCACCAUACAGGAGAGGGAGCAAAUACUCAGAAGAUUCAAGUGCCAGCUGCAUGGGUUGAUACCUACAUAAAAGGCAUUGGGAUUAUUCACAAGAGCCAAGAUAUGGAAAUAACCUGUGUCCAUUGACAGACGAAUAGAUGAGGGAAACGUGGCAUAUACACACAGUGGAAUAUUAUUCGGAAUUAAAAAAAGAAGGAAAUCCUGAAUCCUGCUAUUUCUGACAACAUGAGACUGCAGGACGUUAUGGUAUGUGCUCUUGGGUGAUUCCCCUAAUCAUAGUGGAAAGAUGGGAGCUGAGACUCUAAGACUGUAAGUAACUUGGCCAAGACUUAUGGCUUGAUACGGAUCUUCUAACUCAAAAUCGUGUGUUCUUCUCACUACCCAAUUAUUGCUUCACACUUCAUCAUUUUGCAGAUGACUGUGUGUUGAUGAGAGGCUGCCAUAAUUUGAAGUCAUUAGAACAAUGAAAUAGUAUCUGCACAUAUGCACAGUCCUCGGAUGCGAUGGGCAUUCCCUCAAGCUGCAGUCCAGCAGGAAAUUUUCAGUGCUAGAAGAGUUAAACUAUAAGCUGACUUGAGAUGUAGUAGUUCAAAACCCUUGCCAAUAACUCUUUAUUAUGUGCAGCAUUUUCAAAGCAAAAUUACAACAUGUUAGAAAGUGAAUGAGGCAAAUUACUGGUGAUGUCAUCAAAGUAAUAACUGCUAAUGACCCUUUUACUCCUGGGCAUUGCCUGAGGCCACACUGACAGGAAGAGCAGAUCUGCUUUCUGUGAAUCCAUUUGGAUUAUCUAGAAGGCAUCCUGAAAGUUAUGAAAACAUAAUGUGAGAAAAUGAUAGAUCAAAGUGUGAAUACAAUGCAGGGACAACAGAAAGGAAAAUGUACUCUCUGUUGUGUAAUGGGUAUUUUGGCCAGAGUUUGAAGAGCUUUAUUAAGGAGUGACAACAAACAUAUAUUUAAAUGAUGACAUUUCCUCCAAAAUAAAAUAAACAAAUAAAUAUGUAGAAUUUAAAACUUUUUUGUUUCCAUGAAAGAGUUUGGAAUACCCUUCCAAACUCUCCUCAUUCAUUGAGACGAUGGAUCUCUUGUUAUUAACCGAGACACUGAAUUUUGAGGUGACAUCCUGUUCUGGAGGCAGAAACAUUGCCAGCACUUCUCCUUCAGCAGUUGAUUUAUUAUGUGACAGUCGGUGAUGAGCUUAUCCUCAUGAAGAUGCUCCCUCCCACGGACAGCCGUAUCAUACUUGAGGCCUCCCUGCCACUUACCCAGGCCACUGCAAUAGCCCCUUUGUUGUCAUCUGGUUAAGAACUAAGGUUCUUCCUUAACCAGUCCAUUCCCCUGACUUCCACAGAGAAACCAUUCUAUAAACUGCUCAUCUGUCAGCUGUUCACCAGCUCAAAAACCAUUCAGAAUCCCACACCUUCUCCCACUGUCCACAGAAUAUUGUCAGUACUCCUUCUAAGAGAAUUCAAAGCAACAUGACAUCAUCCUAUAUUUCUAGCCUUACCUAAUAAAUAUUCAUACCGACUACCUACUGCUUUCUAUACAGGGAAACAUUUCAAGGCCUCCGAGGUCUGCUUGGAAUUCUCCCAUCCACCAUCAUUUCUGCUGCCUAUUAAUAUUCCACCUAUAAUUUAUUCACCAAAUAUUCCUUGAAUGAGUGCCAGGUGUCAGAUACCUCAGUUCCAAGGUCCUUUCUUUUGUGAAGCUUUUCUUGGAAGCUCCCCUGUCUGAGCUCACACUCUAAUUGGGACAUUAUUUAAUUAUAGUCUGUAUUGAACA
rnacentral:lncRNA from 1 species